rnacentral:rRNA from 1 species
GAUGAACGCUAGCUACAGGCUUAACACAUGCAAGUCGAGGGGAAACGGCAUCGAAAGCUUGCUUUUGAUGGGCGUCGACCGGCGCACGGGUGAGUAACGCGUAUCCAACCUGCCCAUCACUUGGAAAUAACCUUGCGAAAGUAAGACUAAUGCCCAAUGACAUCCCACGAAGGCAUCCGAAUGGGAUUAAAGAUUUAUCGGUGAUGGAUGGGGAUGCGUCUGAUUAGCUUGUUGGCGGGGUGACGGCCCACCAAGGCAACGAUCAGUAGGGGUUCUGAGAGGAAGGUCACCCAGAUUGGAACUGAGACACGGUCCAAACUCCUACGGGAGGCAGCAGUGAGGAAUAUUGGUCAAUGGGCGAGAGCCUGAACCAGCCAAGUAGCGUGCAGGAUGACGGCCCUAUGGGUUGUAAACUGCUUUUAUAAGGGAAUAAAGUGGGUCACGUGUGACUUUUUGCAUGUACCUUAUGAAUAAGGACCGGCUAAUUCCGUG